AGAGUUUGAUCAUGGCUCAGGACGAACGCUGGCGGCGUGCCUAAUACAUGCAAGUCGAGCGAGCGGAACUAACAGAUUUACUUCGGUAAUGACGUUAGGAAAGCGAGCGGCGGAUGGGUGAGUAACACGUGGGGAACCUGCCCCAUAGUCUGGGAUACCACUUGGAAACAGGUGCUAAUACCGGAUAAGAAAGCAGAUCGCAUGAUCAGCUUUUAAAAGGCGGCGUAAGCUGUCGCUAUGGGAUGGCCCCGCGGUGCAUUAGCUAGUUGGUAAGGUAAAGGCUUACCAAGGCGAUGAUGCAUAGCCGAGUUGAGAGACUGAUCGGCCACAUUGGGACUGAGACACGGCCCAAACUCCUACGGGAGGCAGCAGUGGGGAAUAUUGCACAAUGGGGGAAACCCUGAUGCAGCGACGCCGCGUGGAGGAAGAAGGUCUUCGGAUUGUAAACUUCUGUCGUACGGGACGAUAAUGACGGUACCGUACAAGAAAGCCACGGCUAACUACGUGCCAGCAGCCGCGGUAAAACGUAGGUGGCAAGCGUUGUCCGG
rnacentral:rRNA from 1 species